AAGGUGGCUGAGAAUAGGCGGUGGGUUGUAAUUCCAUUUAUGAGGAGGCUCCUCUCUUUACA
rnacentral:tRNA from 1 species